rnacentral:rRNA from 1 species
CAGUCGCCACGGUAAUACGUAGGGUGCGAGCGUUAAUCGGAAUUACUGGGCGUAAAGCGUGCGCAGGCGGUGAUGUAAGACAGUUGUGAGAUCCCCGGGCUCAACCUGGGAACUGCAUCUGUGACUGCAUCGCUGGAGUGCGGCAGAGGGGGAUGGAAUUCCGCGUGUAGCAGUGAAAUGCGUAGAUAUGCGGAGGAACACCGAUGGCGAAGGCAAUCCCCUGGGCCUGCACUGACGCUCAUGCACGAAAGCGUGGGGAGCAAACAGGAUUAGAUACCCCUGUAGUCCCUGUCUCUUAUAC